AACGAACGCUGGCGGCAGGCCUAACACAUGCAAGUCGAGCGAGGACUUCGGUCCUAGCGGCGGACGGGUGAGUAACGCGUGGGAACGUGCCCUUUGCUACGGAAUAGCCCCGGGAAACUGGGAGUAAUACCGUAUGUGCCCUUCGGGGGAAAGAUUUAUCGGCAAAGGAUCGGCCCGCGUUGGAUUAGGUAGUUGGUGGGGUAAUGGCCUACCAAGCCGACGAUCCAUAGCUGGUUUGAGAGGAUGAUCAGCCACACUGGGACUGAGACACGGCCCCGACUCCUACGGGAGGCAGCAGUGAGGAAUCUUAGACAAUGGGGGAAACCCUGAUCUAGCCAUGCCGCGUGAGCGAUGAAGGCCUUAGGGUUGUAAAGCUCUUUCAGUGGGGAAGAUAAUGACGGUACCCACAGAGGAAGCCCCGGCUAACUCCGUGCCAGCAGCCGCGGUAACAC
rnacentral:rRNA from 1 species